rnacentral:rRNA from 1 species
AACGAACGCUGGCGGCAGGCCUAAUACAUGCAAGUCGAACGCUUGUAGCAAUACAAGAGUGGCGCACGGGUGAAUAACACGUGGGAAUAUGCCUUUUGGUACGGGACAACCUCGGGAAACUGAGGCUAAUACCGUAUGGUCCCUUCGGGGUAAAGAUUUAUCGCCAAAAGAUUAGCCCGCGUCUGAUUAGCUAGUUGGUGAGGUAACGGCUCACCAAGGCGACGAUCAGUAGCUGGUCUGAGAGGACGAUCAGCCACACUGGGACUGAGACACGGCCCAGACUCCUACGGGAGGCAGCAGUAGGGAAUAUUGGACAAUGGGCGCAAGCCUGAUCCAGCCAUGCCGCGUGAGUGAUGAAGGCCUUCGGGUUGUAAAACUCUUUAGCCCGCGAAUAAAAUGACUGUAGCGGGAAAAUAAGCCCCGGCUAACUUCGUGCCAGCAGCCGCAGUAA